UUUCGCAUUCGGAUUGUUAUCAACAAUCGCAUUACCGACUGCAUGCAAUAAGUGUGUUUUACCUAAACCAGUACCACCAUA
rnacentral:antisense_RNA from 1 species